rnacentral:tRNA from 1 species
CCGACCUUAGCUCAGUUGGUAGAGCGGAGGACUGUAGUCGAGUUAAGCACACAGCUGAUCCUUAGGUCGCUGGUUCGAAUCCGGCAGGUCGGA